CUGCCAAGGGCAUGGCUGGGUAGCUAUGUACGGAAUGGAUAAGCGCUGAAAGCAUCUAAGCGCGAAGCCAACUUCAAGAUAAGAUUUCCCACCGCAAGGGUAAGACCCCAGAAAGACUAUCUGGUUGAUAGGUCGAAGGUGUAAGCUAUGUACGGAAUGGAUAAGCGCUGAAAGCAUCUAAGCGCGAAGCCAACUUCAAG
rnacentral:rRNA from 1 species